UCAUAGAUCUAAUUCUCUAUCUCUCUCUCUUUAAUUGACUCCUCUAUCUAUCUCCAUCAGAGGCGACGAACGGUUUGAUCACCGCUGGCUGCCAUUCUUGUGGCUCCCGUCGACCGUUGCUCUUCUCUAACAACUCUUCUGAUCUUCGUGGCCGUACUCACUCUCUCUCUUCUCAGGUAAAUCGUACUCAUCCUCAUUAUACUCCACCACCGGGGGGGCCCAACUCCCAAUCUGUCUUGUUUGCCGUCGUUGCCACCGGUAUUGGAUAGGUAUUAUAAGAGCAGUAUGUUUCGAUCUUCAUAUCCCUCUUUUUCUCUCUUCCCGAAGCCCUUUGAGUUCGAGGUUCUUGUUGAGCAGUGGUUCUAGGUUGAGAUCUUCGUCUUUGAAGAAGCGGUUGGAGCCUUUCUGCCAUGCCAUCACUAACUGUCUUUCCUCUUUUACUCUUACAAUGAAUCCACUCCAAAUGGAGGAUCGAAGGGCGGAGACCGCUGAUUCGGCAUCACCAGUCGCCUAGGUGAGCAGCAGGAUGUCCAACCUCAGCCCUAGUGAACCCGUUAAGGAUAUCUGAUAUCGUGGAGCCUGCUAUGGAUGUCUCACGUGUGAGGCUUUGUUUAUGAUUUUUUUUGUGGUCCCAUAGGACCAAGUUUGUAUCUAAGGAUAUAACUUAGUUUUUGUGAAGAUUGUUUUGAAAUGAUCCUUGACUUAUGUAUAUAUAUAGAUAUCCUAAAUGACUGUCUAAUGUAAGUUAUCAAUAUAUUGUGAAAAGUUUGUGUAAUGCCAUA